UACAUGGGGUGCAAACGUUGCUCGGAAUUACUGGGCGUAAAGCGUGCGUAGACGGUUAUGUAAGUCGGGUGUGAAAGCCCCGGGCUCAACCUGGGAAUGCCAUUCGAGACUGCAUAGCUAGGGUGCGGAAGAGGGAAGCGGAAUUUCCGGUGUAGCGGUGAAAUGCGUAGAUAUCGGAAGGAACACCAGUGGCGAAAGCGGCUUCCUGGUCCAGCACCGACGUUCAGGCACGAAAGCGUGGGGAGCAAACAGG
rnacentral:rRNA from 1 species